CAGUAGCCGCGGUAAAACGUAGGGUGCGAGCGUUAAUCGGAAUUACUGGGCGUAAAGCGUGCGUAGGCGGUUUGUUAAGUCUGUUGUGAAAUCCCCGGGCUCAACCUGGGAAUGGCAAUGGAUACUGGCAAGCUAGAGUGUGUCAGAGGAUGGUGGAAUUCCCGGUGUAGCGGUGAAAUGCGUAGAGAUCGGGAGGAACAUCAGUGGCGAAGGCGGCCAUCUGGGACAACACUGACGCUGAGGCACGAAAGCGUGGGGAGCAAACAGGAUUAGAUACCCCAGUAGUCCCUGUCUCUUAUAC
rnacentral:rRNA from 1 species